AACGAACGCUGGCGGCAUGCCUAACACAUGCAAGUCGAACGAACCCUUCGGGGUUAGUGGCGCACGGGUGCGUAACGCGUGGGAAUCUGCCCUUUGCUUCGGAAUAACUCAGGGAAACUUGUGCUAAUACCGGAUGAUGUCUUCGGACCAAAGAUUUAUCGGCAAGGGAUGAGCCCGCGUAGGAUUAGGUAGUUGGUGGGGUAAAGGCCUACCAAGCCGACGAUCCUUAGCUGGUCUGAGAGGAUGAUCAGCCACACUGGGACUGAGACACGGCCCAGACUCCUACGGGAGGCAGCAGUGGGGAAUAUUGGACAAUGGGCGCAAGCCUGAUCCAGCCAUGCCGCGUGAGUGAUGAAGGCCCUCGGGUCGUAAAGCUCUUUUACCAGGGAUGAUAAUGACAGUACCUGGAGAAUAAGCUCCGGCUAACUCCGUG
rnacentral:rRNA from 1 species